rnacentral:rRNA from 1 species
GACGAACGCUGGCGGCGUGCUUAACACAUGCAAGUCGAACGGAAAGGCCCUGCUUUUGUGGGGUGCUCGAGUGGCGAACGGGUGAGUAACACGUGAGUAACCUGCCCUUGACUUUGGGAUAACUUCAGGAAACUGGGGCUAAUACCGGAUAGGAGCUCCUGCUGCAUGGUGGGGGUUGGAAAGUUUCGGCGGUUGGGGAUGGACUCGCGGCUUAUCAGCUUGUUGGUGGGGUAGUGGCUGACCAAGGCUUUGACGGGUAGCCGGCCUGAGAGGGUGACCGGCCACAUGGGGACUGAGAGACGGACCAGACGCCUACGGGAGGCAGCAGGGGGAAAUAUUACACAAUGGGCGGGAGCCUGAUGCAGCAGCGCCGCGUGCGGGAUACCGGCCUUCGGGUUGUAAACCGAUUUCGCCUGUGACGAAGAGUGAGUGACGGUAAUGGGUAAAGAAGCACCGGCUAACUACGUG